GUGGGGAAUCUUAGACAAUGGGGGAAACCCUGAUCUAGCCAUGCCGCGUGAGUGAUGAAGGCCUUAGGGUUGUAAAGCUCUUUCAGCUGGGAAGAUAAUGACGGUACCAGCAGAAGAAGCCCCGGCUAACUCCGUGCCAGCAGCCGCGGUAAUACGGAGGGGGCUAGCGUUGUUCGGAAUUACUGGGCGUAAAGCGCGCGUAGGCGGACCAGAAAGUUGGAGGUGAGAUCCCAGGGCUCAAACUUGGAACUGCCUUAAAAACUCCUGGUCUGGAGUUCGAGAGAGGUGAGUGGAAUUCCGAGUGUAGAGGUGAAAUUCGUAGAUAUUCGGAGGAACACCAGUGGCGAAGGCGGCUCACUGGCUCGAUACUGACGCUGAGGUGCGAAAGCGUGGGGAGCAAACAGGAUUAGAUACCCGAGUAGUCC
rnacentral:rRNA from 1 species